rnacentral:rRNA from 1 species
GACAGAGGUGCCAAGCGUUAGGCGGAAUCACUGGGCUUAAAGCGUGUGUAGGCGGAUUUGUAAGUACCUUGUGAAAUCCCACGGCUCAACCGUGGAACUGCUGGGCAUACUGGCGAUCUUGGGCCAACUAGGGGCAACUGGAACAAGCGGUGGAGCGGUGAAAUGCGUAGAUAUCGCUUGGAACGCCAAAGGUGAAAACAGGUUGCUGGGGUUGUGCCGACGCUGAGACACGAAAGCCAGGGGAGCAAACGGGG